GAGUUUACAACUCCCAAACCCAUUGCGAACCUACCAUUGUUGCUUCGGCGGACCUCGCCCCGCGUCCGCGCGGGGCCCGCCGGAGGCCCCAAACUCUUGCAUUCCAGCGGGUUUUUCUGAGUGGCACAAGCAAAUAAAUCAAAACUUUCAACAACGGAUCUCUUGGUUCUGGCAUCGAUGAAGAACGCAGCGAAAUGCGAUAAGUAAUGUGAAUUGCAGAAUUCAGUGAAUCAUCGAAUCUUUGAACGCACAUUGCGCCCGCUAGUAUUCUGGCGGGCAUGCCUGUUCGAGCGUCAUUUCAACCCUCAAGUCCCCGGACUUGGUGUUGGGGCCCGGCCAGCUGUCCUGCGGGGCGCGGCCGGCCCUGAAAUUCAGUGGCGGUCUCGCUGCAGCCUCCCUUGCGUAGUAGCACACCUCGCACCGGAGCGCGGCGCGGCCACGCCGUAAAAACGCUGCCCCAGGGCGCGCUUUUCGAAGGUUGACCUCGAAUCAGGUAGGGAUACCCGCUGAACUUAAGCAUAUCAAUAAGCGGAGGAAAAGAAACCAACAGGGAUUGCCCUAGUAACGGCGAGUGAAGCGGCAACAGCUCAAAUUUGAAAUCUGGCCCUCGGGUCCGAGUUGUAAUUUGCAGAGGAAGCUUUUGGCGCGGCGCCUUCCGAGUUCCCUGGAACGGGACGCCAUAGAGGGUGAGAGCCCCGUCCGGUUGGAUGCCUAGNCUCUGUAAAGCUCCUUCGACGAGUCGAGUAGUUUGGGAAUGCUGCUCUAAAUGGGAGGUAUAUGUCUUCUAAAGCUAAAUACNCGG
rnacentral:rRNA from 1 species